rnacentral:rRNA from 1 species
GAGCACGUGAAAUUCCGUCGGAAUCUGGGAGGACCAUCUCCUAAGGCUAAAUACUCUCUAGUGACCGAUAGUGAACCAGUACCGUGAGGGAAAGGUGAAAAGCACCCCGGAAGGGGAGUGAAAUAGAACCUGAAACCGUGUGCUUACAAGUAGUCAGAGCCCGUUAAUGGGUGAUGGCGUGCCUUUUGUAGAAUGAACCGGCGAGUUACGAUUUGAUGCAAGGUUAAGCAGUAAAUGUGGAGCCGUAGCGAAAGCGAGUCUGAAUAGGGCGUUUAGUAUUUGGUCGUAGACCCGAAACCAGGUGAUCUACCCUUGGUCAGGUUGAAGUUCAGGUAACACUGAAUGGAGGACCGAACCGACUUACGUUGAAAAGUGAGCGGAUGAACUGAGGGUAGCGGAGAAAUUCCAAUCGAACCUGGAGAUAGCUGGUUCUCUCCGAAAUAGCUUUAGGGCUAGCCUCAAGUGAUGAUUAUUGGAGGUAGAGCACUGUUUGGACGAGGGGCCCCUCUCGGGUUACCGAAUUCAGACAAACUCCGAAUGCCAAUUAAUUUAACUUGGGAGUCAGAACAUGGGUGAUAAGGUCCGUGUUCGAAAGGGAAACAGCCCAGACCACCAGCUAAGGUCCCAAAAUAUAUGUUAAGUGGAAAAGGAUGUGGCGUUGCCCAGACAACUAGGAUGUUGGCUUAGAAGCAGCCAUCAUUUAAAGAGUGCGUAAUAGCUCACUAGUCGAGUGACACUGCGCCGAAAAUGUACCGGGGCUAAACAUAUUACCGAAGCUGUGGAUUGUCCUUUGGACAAUGGUAGGAGAGCGUUCUAAGGGCGUUGAAGCAUGAUCGUAAGGACAUGUGGAGCGCUUAGAAGUGAGAAUGCCGGUGUGAGUAGCGAAAGACGGGUGAGAAUCCCGUCCACCGAUUGACUAAGGUUUCCAGAGGAAGGCUCGUCCGCUCUGGGUUAGUCGGGUCCUAAGCUGAGGCCGACAGGCGUAGGCGAUGGAUAACAGGUUGAUAUUCCUGUACCACCUAU